AGUGAACGCUGGCGGUAGGCCUAGCACAUGCAAGUCGAACGGCAGCACAGUAAGAGCUUGCUCUUACGGGUGGCGAGUGGCGGACGGGUGAGGCAUACAUCGGAAUCUACUUUUUCGUGGGGGAUAACGUAGGGAAACUUACGCUAAUACCGCAUACGACCUACGGGUGAAAGCAGGGGAUCUUCGGACCUUGCGCGAUUGAAUGAGCCGAUGUCGGAUUAGCUAGUUGGCGGGGUAAAGGCCCACCAAGGCGACGAUCCGUAGCUGGUCUGAGAGGAUGAUCAGCCACACUGGAACUGAGACACGGUCCAGACUCCUACGGGAGGCAGCAGUGGGGAAUAUUGGACAAUGGGCGCAAGCCUGAUCCAGCCAUACCGCGUGAGUGAAGAAGGCCUUCGGGUUGUAAAGCCCUUUUGUUGGGAAAGAAAAACAGCAGAUGAAUACCCCGCUGUUCUGACGGUACCCAAAGAGUAAGCACCGGCUAACUUCGUG
rnacentral:rRNA from 1 species